rnacentral:rRNA from 1 species
CGACCGGCGCACGGGUGAGUAACACGUAUCCAACCUGCCGUCUACUCUUGGCCAGCCUUCUGAAAGGAAGAUUAAUACAAGAUGUUAUCAUGAGUAAGCAUUUUCACAUGAUUAAAGGUUUACCGGUGUAAGAUGGGGAUGCGUUCCAUUAGAUAGUAGGCGGGGUAACGGCCCACCUAGUCUUCGAUGGAUAGGGGUUCUGAGAGGAAGGUCCCCCACAUUGGAACUGAGACACGGUCCAA